rnacentral:tRNA from 3 species
GGAGAUGUGGCCGAGUGGCUGAAGGCGGCGGUUUGCUAAACCGUUAAGGGUCUUAAAAGCCCUUCACAGGUUCGAAUCCUGUCAUCUCCGCCA